GUGGAACACCGAGCUCCCCAGAGGAGACCUGGACCAAGUUGAUGAGUUGCUAGCCAUCAUAGCAGCUCACAAAGAAAUAGGGGUGACUGGAGCAUCUGUAAUGUUCUCUUUCUUCAAGUGCCGGAUCCAGCCACUCCAACAAUACCACACUUUAGGAUUCGAGUACAUAGACGCUGAAGAUUCCUCUCGGAUGUGCGCAGAAGAACUGUCUGAUGACGCCGCACUCACCCGGGUCAGGCGAGUGCUGCUGGACGUGGAUGCAGUUCCCUAUGUCCUGCAGCUGUUUUCAGCACAAAAUCCUCCAAAACCGGGACACACAGAGUUGUACCGAAGCUACCCUCCACAACCCGACAUCCCUCGACCGGACCACCUUCUCCCCAGCGCCACAGCCGAAGUGAAGAGGGCUCGAGCAGCCGAGGCUCUGCCCGGCAGCGACUCCACUGAAGGCGGGAGCCCCCUAGAGGAAGAGAAAGCCGAAGGAGAGACGAGAAGGAACAACUCACCCGGACCAUCCGUGGAGCUGACCGAAACUCUGCCGUUGGUCCCACAGGGUCGUCGGGUGGUGCGCAAACGGAAAGCGCAUGUAGUCGAGUCUUCCAAUCCACCUGCUUCUCCUCCCGAGCCCGAGCGCGAAGAGGUGGGAACAGAUCCAUCAGCUUCUGCGACAGGAGCGGUUACCAUUGCCGUGGCGGACACCGCGCCACUAGCUGGUGUGACCCCACCGCCAGCAACGAGUACUGUGGUUGAAACGCCAUGGCUCUGAGAGUGGAGAAAGCUGUCAUGAAGAAGUCUUCGCUAUCUGCAAGUGACAUGAGGCACAAGCCAAAGCCUGCCGCAGCAACCCCAGCCCCCGAGCCACCAGCCUCAGAGGAGCCCACACCCAAGGAGCCAGCCCCUGAGGCAGACACAACGCUACCCAACCAGCCACCCCCCGAGCCCCAACAAGCCGAAGCCAGGGCUGGUGGUGAGGAACGAAUCGAGGCCACUGAAGCCGCUCCUGCAGAUGGGACAAGUGCCCAACAGCCAUCCACUGAAGAAGCCGCAGGGACCUCAAGGAGCCUUGGAGAUCUGCUGGUGACCGGACGCGGAUACUAGAAUGUCAUCACCACAGAUCUGGUGGAUGACCCGAUGCUGACGGAGGACAACAUAAGAUACUUCAAGAAGAUCUCCAAAGAGUUGUACAAUUACACCGUGGAUGUGAUCAAAUACUCACAGAAAAAGAUAGAGAAACUGAAAGCAGUCGUGAGUGGCCACCAGGAGCUAGCUGCCAAGAACAAACGCAUAUCCGAAGAGCUGACGAAGAACAUCUAUCUUCAGGGAGAACUUGACAAGCUGAAGCGAG